CUAUUCAAACAUACUCUCCUUAUCUCUGUUACACAGAAACAAGUGAAAACGUUCUAAGACUUCUAAUCCCUGUUCUUCUAGGAACCCUACAAAUGCCUAAUCUCUAGAAAUAUUAGCAGACUUCCAACUCCCCGUACUGUCUGCCAUCACAACUCUUGUCUAAAAAUUCCUCUGCUGAAAAGUGAAAGUGGAGCUGCCAGGCAGUUUAGUAAAAAUGUUCAGCCAUUUAGAAAGACUUUUUAGGCCUCUACCAGGAUUGUUCCCUGUCUGUCUGCACCCACUGUCUUCUACAGAAGUCAUUGUGUGAGAAAAAAAUGUGUGAGCUACAAUGUCAAAGUACUUUAACUGCAUAUUUGAAUGAAGAAAACAUGAAUAUAAUAUACAUAAUCUGGUUCCUAGGCAUGACAUAUGGGAGUCACACUGGCAAGCCUCCAGUCUUCUGGGACCUCACCAGUCAACAAGGAGUGCUGAUAGAUGAUGGAAGGCGGCUCGGCUAUCACCUCUGCCAGUUCCCUCAGCACUCUCAGGUGGAUCUCAUCCGGCACCGUGGACUUCUGGCAGUCCAAUUGGAGUAGCAGGAUGUAGAUUCUCUUUUUCUCCUGAAGCCUCAAGAAGAGCUCCCUAUUCUUCCACACUGGUCUUCUUCCACGUAGGCUCAUUUUGCAUCUCAGGGGGACAGCCUGCUCCUGUGCCUUUAAGACUUCCUUCUUGAAGAGCGACCAACCAUCUUGGACCCCUUUACUCUCUAAGACUGAAUCCCAGAGGACUCCCCCUACUAGUCUUCUGAGCAAUUCAAAGUCCGUCCUCCAGAAGUCCAAGGUAGCAGUUUUGCUGUUCCCCCUCCUGACUCCACCAAGAAUUGAGAGCUCUACCAUGCCAUGGUCACGCUGUCCAAGACAGCCCCAAACCUCCACAUCUCCUACCAGAUAUUCUCUGUUUGUGAGCAGCAGGUCUAAUGGGGCAGCUCCUCUUGUAGACACUCUCACCAGCUGCAUCAGGAAGUUGUUACCCUUCCUCAAUAAAUGUUUCACAUUUUGCAAAAAAGACGAGCCUAUAUAGGUAAAUUUCAGUAUUAAAGUAGCAUAGUAACACAUAAUUCAGUUGCUGUG
ensembl:lncRNA